rnacentral:ncRNA from 1 species
GACAGAUGCAAAAAUCCCUGAUGCGCAAUACGGCUAUGAAAAAGCGCUGAGCUAUACCCUGGCCGCACACGCGGGCGCGAACCGACUCUGUG